CCAAUCGCUCCCAGCUAUUUGAGCCAAUGGAGAAGUUCCUGAUGCCCACACCUGCUGGUCUCACCGCUAGGGCCUGGGCAUCACAGGCAGGGGGAAUGGGGAGGGGACGGUAGCGUCAGCCUACACCCACACGCAGUUUCCUGAUAAAAGGUCCUUUGGAAACUUUGAUUCUCUUCUCACCAAGUUGAACGGAGAUGUGUUCCCAUAGUAAGAGUGAGGCCCCUGCAUUUGCUGCCCUCGGUUUUCCCAACUAACACCAGGGCCUCCCCCCUGUACCCCAUUCAUAUGCCUCAGAAGCUGACAAUGACUGUUGGGCUUUUCCAAUGAAUACCAGAACACCAUUUCCUGCAGCCUGAAAAGAAGACAGUAUAAUUGUUUGGCAGCAAGAGAAUCCAGGUGCCCUUCCAUGAGAAGCCCAAGCCAUGUGGAGAAGCCACGUCUAGGGACUCCAGUUAACACUCUCAGCUGAGUCCCCAGCUGACAGUCAGCAUCAACUGCCAGCCACCUCUGUCUAAAAGUGGGCUAUCUUGGGCAUCCAGCCCAGUCAAGCCUUCAGAUGAGUCCAGUCCCAGCCACUAUCUCACACAACCACACGAGAGACAUCAAGAACUCCCAGUGGAGUCCAGUCAGCCCAUGGAACUGCAAGAGACAGGAUCUCGCUGCGUUGCUCAGACUGGUCUCGAACUCCUGGGCUUAAGGGAUUCUCCUGCCUCAAUCACAGCCUCCCAAGUAGCUGAGAUUAAAAGUGCUCACCACCGUGCCAGCGAGUUCAGUUUUUGAGUGUCCUCCGACACUGACUCUGUGCUUGGCCCUGUGACUUGCUUUGGCCAAUGGUACAGCAGCAAACUUGAUGCAAACACAACUUGAAAAAGAAGAGGACAGCCAAGUCAUCCCAGCCAAGGCCACCCUGGACCAGCCAGCCUCUUGCCAAGCUGCCAGUGACCACAGAGUCCAAUUAACAACAGCCAGUCCUGGCCCAGGGUGGAGCCAAGACUCUGAGGAGAGGGCUGAACUGUGAACCUAGAAGUACCAUCUCCCCCUGCACACACCUUUGGUCAAGUUGACCCCAAGAAGAAGGACAAGUCCUCUGCACGGCGAUGAGGCCAUACACACAGUCUGUGGCCCGGCUUUGGGAGACUGAUGGGACAAAGGAUGUUUUGCACGAUCCUUGGUCUCUGAGCAAAUAUAUACAUGGGUUAACACAAA
rnacentral:lncRNA from 1 species